rnacentral:rRNA from 1 species
CGUGAAGUCGGAAUCGCUAGUAAUCGCGGAUCAGCAUGCCGCGGUGAAUACGUUCCCGGGCCUUGUACACACCGCCCGUCACACCAUGAGAGUCGGGAACACCCGAAGCCCGUAGCCUAACAGCAAUGAGGGCGCGGUCGAAGGUGGGUUCGAUAAUUGGGGUGAAGUCGUAACAAGGUAUC